AUGAUUGAUAGCAGUGGCAGUAUCAUAGCCAAUGAGGUUAAUCUGAGGUGUGAUUAUUGCUAGUGGAAAAACUCCCACACCCCAAUCUGGAUCUAUGCUGGUUAUGUGGUAUUUAUGUACCCCGUGAACCUUGUAACCGA
rnacentral:snRNA from 1 species